GUUAGUAAACAGUACAUUCUGCUUUUCUGCUUCUAUCUUUUUGCAAAAGUUCGGGGACUGAAGAAAUUCUAAAAAUUGAGAUAAUUGUCAUUUUUCGAAAUAUCGUUACUGUGGAAAGAAAUUGGAUUUCUGGAUAUAUUAUGUGCGAAGAAAAUUUACAGUUUGACAGUGACAUAGAGAUAUUCUCUCCUAAGACUCAUGUUGGCGUGCUAUGUAAUAAACAUUUAUAUCCAAAAGAGACUUAUAAUACUCAGAAAAAUAUGGAAGGUAAAGAAGAAUUUACGAGUGAAGUACAUGAGCAAGAUGAGAAUACAAGCUAUAUUGACAUACGUGUAAAUAUUCAAGAUUUUACUGAAGUACUCAUUGGCGAAGUUUAAAAACGUCCUGCAUUGUACAAUAUCAAAUUAUCAAUCCAAAGCAGGAGUCGAGUUAUCGUUAAUCCACUGUGGCAAGAGAUUUGUCAAGUCUUUGAAGAUCAGAUACCAGUUGAAGAAUUAAAGAGACGCUGGAAAAUUCAACGUGAUCGAUAUAUAAAGAUCCGAAGUGAUAUGAAAAAAAAACUACCCAGUGGAUCAUCUGCAGCAGCCCAAAAACAUCCUAACUAUAAAUAUUAUGAGUUAAUGUCAUCUUUAGAUGAUAGUAUGGAACAGCGAAAAACGCUCACGACGAUCUACUACUAUCGAAGACAAAUUAUUACGAGAACUUUCAACUUUAAAAGAACCAACACCACCUGCAGUAACAGACUCGGUAGAUCUAUUCUGUCGCAGCAUUACAGAUACUUUACGGAUGCUAGAUCUGAAAAGCAGAUUAUCAACUGAAAUGGAAAUAAUGCAGUUACUCCAUGAUAAGUUAUACAAGAUUCAAAAAUAUAUUGUUUUUAUUAUAAUAAUAUGAUAUUAAGAAAAAUACAGCAAUAUUAUUAAUAGUAUUAAAAAGGAAGGAUUUCCUGUUUUGGUUAUGUGAUUAAAGAAUUUAUUACGUGUUUAGUUUAAAAAUAUAACAAAUGUUUCAUUGUUCAAUAUUAUGUUUUACUACAUGAAAAAAUAUGUUCCUUUUUUUAAGAUUAUAAUAUUUAUUGUAGACAAACGUUCGGUACAGAUAGAAAUGUUAUAAAAGAUCUUAUUCUUGCAUAUUCAGUUUUGCACAUAGAUACAUACAUAAGCUACAUACAUAAGUUUAUUAUGUAAAAAAAUGUUUUCUUAACAUAUACAUGUUUUUUUAAGGUAAAGUCUCUCUCAUGCUUAUGUUACAUGUUAAUAUUCUGAACAGCUUCGUGUUGUCAAGAUACCGCUCCUUCAUUCGUGAAAUAAUUAACAAAUUUAUUUCUUAUUGUUAUAGCAUUACGUUGUUCAUGUAUAUCUAUGUUAGCAAUAUCUCUCAGAGCUCCACAUUCAUUGUAUUCUAUUCUAUCAAACAUAUAUCGUCGUAAC